GCCGACCUCAGAGAGGUGAGACC
rnacentral:rRNA from 1 species